GUGCCAGCAGCCGCGGUAAUACGUAGGGUGCGAGCGUUAAUCGGAAUUACUGGGCGUAAAGAGUGCGUAGGCGGUUCUUUGUGUCCGCUGUGAAAGCCCCGGGCUUAACCUGGGAAUGGCAGUGGAAACUAGAGAACUUGAAUCUGGCAGAGGGGGGUGGAAUGCCACGUGUAGCAGUGAAAUGCGUAGAUAUGUGGCGGAACACCGAUGGCGAAGGCAGCCCCCUGGGCUGAGAUUGACGCUCAGGCACGAAAGCGUGGGGAGCAAACAGGAUUAGAAACCCGAGUAGUCC
rnacentral:rRNA from 1 species